UACGAAGGGGGCUAGCGUUGCUCGGAAUUACUGGGCGUAAAGGGAGCGUAGGCGGACUGUUAAGUUAGAGGUGAAAGCCCAGGGCUCAACCUUGGAAUUGCCUUUGAUACUGGCAGUCUUGAGUACGGAAGAGGUAUGUGGAACUCCGAGUGUAGAGGUGAAAUUCGUAGAUAUUCGGAAGAACACCAGUGGCGAAGGCGACAUACUGGUCCGUUACUGACGCUGAGGCUCGAAAGUGCGGGGAUCAAACAGG
rnacentral:rRNA from 1 species